rnacentral:rRNA from 1 species
AGCUCCAAUAGCGUAUAUUAAAGUUGUUGCGGUUAAAAAGCUCGUAGUUGGAUCUGCGGACGUGGAGAGCGGUCGCCUAAUUGGUUGUACUGUUCUCCUGUCCUAUGAUGUCUAGUUUUGCCAUGGUGCGCUUCACUGUGUGUCAUGGUUAGCUAGAAAGUUUACUUUGAAAAAAUUAGAGUGCUCAAGGCAGGCGUUUCAGCCUGAAUAGUGGUGCAUGGAAUAAUGGAAUAGGACCACGGUUCUAUUUUGUUGGUUUUCGGAGCAGUGGUAAUGAUUAAGAGGGACAGACGGGGGCAUUCAUAUUGCGACGUUAGAGGUGAAAUUCUUGGAUCGUCGCAAGAUGAACUACUGCGAAAGCAUUUGCCAAGAAUGUUUUCA